rnacentral:rRNA from 1 species
AUUGAACGCUGGCGGCAGGCCUAACACAUGCAAGUCGAGCGAGCGUCGGACGGGUGAGUAAUGUAUGGGGACUGCCCGAUAGAGGGGGAUAACUACUGGAGACGGUAGCUAAUACCGCAUCCUAUCGGAUAACCCAUAUGGGAUUAGCUGGUAGGUGAGGUACUGGCUCACCUAGGCGACGAUACGUAGCUGGUUUGAGAGGACGACCAGCAACACUGGGACGUGGACACGGCCCAGACUCUGACGGAGGCAGCAGUGGGGAAUUUUGGACAAUGGGGGAAACCCUGAUCCAGCCAUCCGGCUUGUAUGUUGAAGGCCUUCGGGUUGUAAAGUACGUUUGGCAGAGAAGCGGUAUCGGCAGAAUAAGCACCGGCUAACUACGUGCCAGCCGCCGCGGUAAUAC